AAAGGUACCGAGGCCGCAACCCUAGGUACUGGCAAAGGUAUUGUGCCAAACUGGAUUGUCGAGGCCGCAGUCAUAGGCAAAGUGGGGUUCAUUCCAACAGGAGGAAUCCCGCCACCAAUUGUCCCAUCAACAGGAGGAAUGCCAGUUGAGGUCUCCACAGGGUUCACAGCGGUCCCAACAGUGUUGCUUCCAUUGUUCACAUCAUCAUUUCCAUGUGACGCCAUUUAACCUUAGAACACGCAACAAACAAUUUAGAAUAAUUAUAGAUUUGAGGUCAAGUUAUCUGUUCGAGAAAAAUAAACUGUAGAACCAAAACCACGCAGGCAUGAACUAAGAAACUUCCUGUAAACCAAUUUUUUUU
rnacentral:lncRNA from 1 species